UGGUAAUGGUUCUUAGGAAAUACCUGAUUC
rnacentral:piRNA from 1 species